rnacentral:rRNA from 1 species
UCAGGAUGAACGCUAGCGGCAGGCUUAACACAUGCAAGUCGAGGGGUAACAGGUCACUUCGGUGAUGCUGACGACCGGCGCACGGGUGAGUAACGCGUAUGGAACCUACCUGAAACAGGGGGAUAGCUUCCGGAAACGGGGAUUAAUACCGCAUACGAUUCAUUUGUGGCCUCACAAAUGGAUAAAAGCUACGGCGGUUUCAGAUGGCCAUGCGUACCAUUAGUUAGUUGGUGAUGUAAAGGCUCACCAAGGCGAUGAUGGUUAGGGGUCCUGAGAGGGUAGUCCCCCACACUGGUACUGAGACACGGACCAGACUCCUACGGGAGGCAGCAGUGAGGAAUAUUGGUCAAUGGGCGCUAGCCUGAACCAGCCAUGCCGCGUGCAGGAAGACGGCCCUACGGGUUGUAAACUGCUUUUCUGCAGGAAGAAUAUAUAGUCUUAGGGGUAUAUUGACGGUACUGCAGGAAUAAGCAUCGGCUAACUCCGUGCCAGCAGCCGCGGUAAUACGGAGGAUGCAAGCGUUAUCCGGAUUCAUUGGGUUUAAAGGGUGCGCAGGCUGUAAAGCAAGUCAGUGGUGAAAGCCCUGGGCUUAACCCAGGGAUUGCCAUUGAAACUGUUUUACUAGAGUGUAGUAGAGGACGGCGGAAUGAGUUGUGUAGCGGUGAAAUGCAUAGAUAUAACUCAGAACACCUAUUGCGUAGGCAGCUGUCUAUACUACAACUGACGCUGAGGCACGAAAGCGUGGGGAGCGAACAGGAUUAGAUACCCUGGUAGUCCACGCUGUAAACGAUGAUCACUCGUUGUUGGCUACUUAGUAGUCAGUGACCAAGGGAAACCGAUACGUGAUCCAUCUGGGGAGUACGUCGGCAACGAUGAAACUCCAAGGAAUUGACGUGGGGCCGCACAAGCGGAGGAACCAUGUGGUUUCAUU